GGGAGUUCUCCAGAUGAAGGAGGAGCAAAUACAGGACCCUUGGGCCGCUCCUCCACAAAACGCAGACCCCUGUCGUAGGAGGAAGUGAGAGUCCAGAGAGACUCAUCAGCUUUUAUGGCCCCUGGGGACAAACAAGACAGCAGAACUCCUACGCCGCCUCUCCCACGGAAACACCUACUCCCGGACAGACCCCGGAUGUCAUACUGAAGUUUCACCAUGACUUCAGGCUUGCAAGACAGAGUUUCUCCCGAAAGGCUAAAUGGCCACCGCUUUCCUGGAAACAGCUGUUGUUUGUGAAUAUGCCCGACCCUGUCCGGUCGUCAGCAAGCAGAAGAAAAGCACAGCAAGGUUCUUCAGCCUGAUGCCAGACUGGACCUGGGAAUUGAAGGGACCAAGGAAGACAGAACCAGCUGCUUGGUGUGAAUUUAGGCCCAGGUCCUCAGAGGUAUUUAGGCUCCUACAUUCCCUUGAAAUCAGUAGAAAUUAGAAGCUGAACUACCUUUGAGGAUCUGGCCAUAGGGCCUCCCCCAGCUUCUCGGGUAGCUGUUGUGUCCCUGCCCAGAUCAGAGAGGGCGAGGGCCAGUCCCACCGCGCUGUGCAAAUGGUGGGUUAGUAAGUGGGAGGGGUGGGGUAGAGCCAGAUGGCUUGUCACAAAUGUCUGUAAAUCUGCCUGUCAAUGGUAGCAUCAAAGCUUUCCUGGAUCUGGGAACACGUCCCCAGCCUGGAAGGCAGGGCCAGGCUGUAGGGCAGCCCGGGCUAGGGGAGCCUUCUCUCCCUGUCACUCUGGCUUGUUCAGAAGGACAUAUUAGCAUCCGUUGCUUUCCGAGAGGGAGGGAGGAGUGGGGAUUUUGGCCCCAAGGGCCUGGGUAACUCUCACCCCCUGGCUGGAUGGAAUUCAUCCCUGAAUUGCACCUCUUAAGAUGAGGGGCUGGUUAGCAGCAGGGAGGGGGUGGGGGGGUGGCUCAGGAGCCAUUGUCCUGGUUCUGUACCACCCAGGGAUCCCUCGAUGCUAGGGAUGAACCCCUGGCACUGCUCUAGGGCGGCUUGAGACAGCAGAGACACCUCAGCCCAGUGGAGAUCAUGGGGCAAAGCGUAGCGCCGAGUGGAAGGCAGAGCACAGCACAGCAGCAUUCUUGGAGAGGACUCCGGCCAUGUCUACACUACAGAUUUGGGCUGAUACGAGUUACGUGGCACAGAGCUGCAGCGGUCAGUAUAUCGCGCGUUAGUAGAUCAUGUGGGUCCUGGCCUCGGUGCUGCGCGUACUCAUCAGGGUGUGUGUGUGGAUGGACAGUGCAGUGCCUUGGGGGGGAGGUUCCCCAAUGUGCCACUCACCAUGGUCCAGCACACUGUCUUUUGGGAAAUCUUGGCAACGCAUGGUGGGGCAGCAUUGAGUCACGCAGGGGGGUCAAGUUCCCAGCAUGCAACUUCAUCCCCUAGUGCCAUCCAUAGCCCAUCGUAUGCACCCUUUUAAAAACAUCUCAGACCCCUGCAUGGCCCUUUUUGCUGUCCACCAUCUCACAAAAGCAUGGAGCCUGCAGCCCUGUGCACUGUUGGCAUGCGUGUUACAAACCCAGGCUGCACGAAGAACCGCAGCGACGGGGGACAUGAUGAUUUUGUGGAGGACAGAUUGCGUGGGACAUAGCAAAAACCAGUUCAGGACUGUUGGCGGCUUUCAAUGAGUAACUGCUGAUGGUGAAGUGCCGCUUCUCGCCCCAAGAAACGAGCACUGACUGAUGGGAUGGCGUCGUAGUGCAGGCCCCAUUCCUAGCUCUGUGCUGAGCUCAGCCCAGCCCUCCGGUGCAGGUGCAGGGACACCGGAAGGAGAGCUGUGUUCCCAGCUAAGACGAGAACGGUGAUUGAACUGUGAACGCUUGCAACACCAGCUUGCUGCCGGUCAGUGGGCAACCACUUGGGAGCUGGAAGAUUAACAGUGGGGCCACUGGCAGGCAAGUGUGAAGGCCGCUGCUUGUCUCCUGCUGGGCAGGUCUGGGAUUCUCUGUAACGUGCAGGACGUAGCGGAUGACUUUGCUGCAGUGGUGCUCCCAACUGCCGUGGCAUGAUAGAUGGCACAUGUAUUCACCCUGCAACACCACACAUCAACAGCAGGGGCUGCGUGAGAGUUGAACAUGCGUUUGGUAGAUUGAAGGGACUGACGCUGGCCAUGUUUACUCACAUGAUUGGAUCUAAAUGAGAAAAAUACCCCAAUGGCUCUAGCUGCCUGCUGUGUCCUGCAUAAUGUCUGUGACACAAAGGGGGGAAAGGUGCUGCCGGGGUGGGGGUGGAGCGGCUGUCUGCUGAAUUUGAACUAGGGUGACCAGACAGCAAGUGUGAAAAAUCGGGAUGGGGGGUGGGAGGUAAUAGGAGCCCAUAUAAAAAAAAACUGCAAAUAUCAGGAUUGUCCCUAUAAAAUCGGGACAUCUGGUCACCCUAAUUUGAACAGCCAGACACACGAGCUAUUAGAAGAGCUCAGUACAGCGCUCUACGGCUCCGGGGGGCCUUGAAAGAGCCCUUUGACAGUCAGCCCCAGUAAUGUGGGGGGUGGGCUGGGUGCUCCCUGGCCCUGCAGGUUUGGGGCCUGUUAGGAAUCGUGUGGUGCUUGGUGUACAUCUCUGGCUGUAACCCUGUCUGCUAACAUGGCUACUCCUCUGAUACCUGUCUGCUAAUGCACCCAUGAAUUUUUCAGUGCUUGCUGGACAUUUCUAAUUACUCUGUGUGUCACUAAUCCCAUGAGUUCUGCUGCCCAGGACAAUGCCGAGCUGUGGGUUCUUCCACUAGCACUCAGCAUUCUGCAGCACGUGUUGUAAAGUAAUAAAGAUGAAUUCAUUUCCAAAAAAUAGGCUUUUAUUGCAAACCAAAACCAGUGCAAAAACCCCACCUGCAAGUGAAAAACAAACACAAGAAAAACUUCAGAAAGUAAUUAACAGGACAGAACUUAACAAGGAAACGAACAUUCCCGGCCAUCUCAGCCCAUUUUGGCUACCCAGACAGCAGCAUACAGCAGGUCCGUGCGGGUGGAGCUGUGGUUGUCCGUACAGUCCCCCGAUGUGGUGUGGGCAGGAGAGGGAUGUAGCCCCUGAUGCCAGGUGGAAUGGGGGGGUGGUGUAGGGAGUUUCCCAUGGACUGCAAAGGGAGGCGAGCCUGGGCUUGCUGAACCUGUAGGGCCAGAGUGUGCUGCAGCUGUGUUUGCUGUCAGAGAAGCCCCAUUACGUCUUGGUGCGUCUCCCUCCCCUUUCCCUGCUGGGAUUCCUGGGUCCUUCUCCUCUCGGCUCUUUCCUUCUCCAGGCUGUCUGCAGUGCUCACCCUCCGGGCCCUGUGCUCACCGCCUGAUGCCUGCAUUAUCUCCGGGAACGUGUCCUCUCACGUGCUGGUCUGCCUCCCCCUCAUCAUGGGCAGGUGCUCCGCAGGCGUGGAGGGGACCCCUCAAGGCGGCCAUGGUAGGCAUCACUUGUAUUUGGCGUAACAGUGGAAAGGGAAAGGGAAGGUUCAGAACUCCCUGCUCUUGCUCCCCCAAAGUUUUAAACAAGCCAUGCUUAUUGACACCCACUGCCCAGCAGUCCCAGGCCUGUUAGGUGGUGGAGGGGGAGGAUCAGGAGGGAAUUGUUUGGCUGCAUC